UGAUGAAGUUUUAUUGACCCAAGAGAGAAAACAAAAAAAGGAAAAAGGACAAAAAGAUCAUCCCUAUUCUCUUAUCUUCUUGCAAUAGCGUGGUAAGUGUGUUUACAAGUUGAAGCUUAAUUUCCUGAUGAAAUAAAUAUAUAUAUAUAUAUAUGUAAUCUCUCUCCCUCACUAUCUACGUUCAAAGGCUUCUGUAUAAUAGUAUCUAAAGCACUUAGGUUCAAAGGCUUCUCCCUCACUAUCGACGUUAUGUCUUUACAGCGCCGUGAUGAUCAUCUGACCAAAACCAUAAGCGACGCACCAGAUAUCACUUUCGUGGUGGAUAUUGGAUAUCAAAUCUAUGAAGGGCUUAAUCAAGCCUACAAGGAGAUCAACGGAAGGAAGUCGGACUGGCAAAAGGAUUGGCAACCGACGUUAAUAAGAAGAGAUGAGAUAAUUCCAUUUGCUAAGAUUUUCGCUCGGGAUUUGACGUGGUGUCCUUUGGUGACUGACCUUCUCUCUGCUUUUCCCAUGCCACAACUUCUAAUGAAAGUUUUUUUCAAAAUGUGGUGGUCGGGAUAUUCAGAACCGAGGAAGAUUGUCAACUUUUUUCUUCUCAUCCAAUAUCUGCCAAGAAUUUAUCGAAUUAUCUUAGCUUCUUCCGAACUUACAAGGACCAUCAAAAUAUGGAUCAAAUCUCUAUUCAAUUUCUUUUUAUACCUUCUUGCUAGCCAUGUUAUUGGAGCCUUUUGGUACUUCUAUUCCAUUGAACGAGAGACCUUAUGUUGGCACCAGGCUUGUCAAAAUCAACUAGAUCCCGAGAGAUGCAUGAGUACCUUUUAUUGUGAUCGUGACAAUUCUGCCCAACCAAAUAUCACAUUUUUUGAUGAACAUUGCAACAUAGAUGUUCCAUACAAUGCUUCAGAGCCGUUUAAGUAUGGAAUAUUUCUUGAUUCGCUUAAGUCUGGUAUUGCGGGGAAUAAUUAUAAUUUCCACACGAAGUUAUGCUACUCUUUCUGGUGGGGUCUGAGAAAUUUGAGCAACUUUGGCACGAAUCUCGCGACAAGUCAUUCUAUGUGGGAAAACUUGUUUGCAAUUCAAAUUUCUCUCACUGGCUUGCUAUUAUUUGUAUAUCUCAUUGGAAAUGUUCAGACAUUCAUUCAGAUGAAAACCACACAAUCUGAGGAAAUUAGGAAGAAGAUUGAAUUUAAAAAAGAGGCGACAGACAUGUGGAUGGAGAAAAAUGCCAUUCCUGAUGAUGAAAGGAAGGAAAUCAGGAAAAUGAUAAAAAGAAGCGACAGACACCUGGAAGGGGACAAAGAUUCUGUUUUGGAGAAUCUCUUCAAUGUUGUUCCCGGUUAUAUGCAAAAAUUCCUAAAGCAUUUUCUCUGCAUGAAAAUUCUAAAAGAGGUUGAUCUCCUUCAACUUAUGGAUGACAGUGUGCUGAAAAUGAUGUGCGACUGUCUGAAGCCAGUGACUUACGCAGUAGAUCACAUCAUAUUUCCAAAGGAGCACCCAAUUGAUCGCAUGCUUCUCAUUAUAGAAGGCACUGCAUUGACCUACAGCAUAACUCCUAUUCCUAGCCUUACACCUGGUGAAGAAAACGAUUCUGGUGCUGCCCCAUCCCCAUCCCCAUCAAUGGCCACCAAGCAACUCGGGAAAGGUGGUGUUUAUGGAGAAGAGCUUCUGACGUGGGCAUCGCCCGAGAAAACUGGGAUUGACAACCUUCCUACCAGCAACGAAUAUGUGAAAUGUCAUACAAAAGUAGAAGGCUUUGUUCUCUCAGCCCAGGACUUGCUAAAGGUAGUCUCCAAAUCCAAGCAGUUGCGGAAGUUAAACAUAGGCCCUUGAUCUCCCUCGCAACUUCUACAGCGGCUGGUCCCGGACAUUAUGUACGGAUAUCCAGUUUUUAUUUACUUGUGUUUUUGAGUGCUUGUAUCGUACUUAUGCCGUAAACUGCUUCCAUAAAGAAAUGAAGAGGAUAAUAAUAAUGCAACUUACUAAACUAAAUUGAUUUAUGACAAGUUGUUGUUUGUAGGAAUAGGAUUAAUCAAA